UAGCAUAUCAUAAGCGGAGGAAAAGAAACCAACAGGGAUUGCCCUAGUAACGGCGAGUGAAGCGGCAACAGCUCAAAUUGAAUCUGGCGCAAGCCCGAGUUGUAAUUUGUAGAGGAUGCUUCUGGGUAGCGACCGAUCUAAGUUCCUUGGAACAGGACGUCAUAGAGGGUGAGAAUCCCGUAUGUGACCGGCCCGCACCCUUUACGUAGCUCCUUCGACGAGUCGAGUUGUUUGGGAAUGCAGCUCUAAAUGGGAGGUAAAUUUCUUCUAAAGCUAAAUACCGGCCAGAGACCGAUAGCGCACAAGUAGAGUGAUCGAAAGAUGAAAAGUACUUUGGAAAGAGAGUUAAAAAGCACGUGAAAUUGUUGAAAGGGAAGCGCCUGCAACCAGACUUCGCGGCAGUGUUCCGCCGGUCUUCUGACCGGUUCAUUCUCUGUCGCGAGGCCAUCAUCGUCUGGGCCCGCCGGAUAAGACCUUAGGAAUGUAGCUCACCUUCGGGGGAGUGUUAUAGCCUAGGGUGAUGCGGCGAGGCUCGGGCGAGGUCCGCGCUUCGGCAAGGAUGAUGGCGUAAUGGUUGUCGGCGGCCCGUCUUGAAACACGGACCAAGGAGUCUAACAUCUAUGCGAGUGUUCGGGUGUCAAACCCCUACGCGUAAUGAAAGUGAACGGAGGUGGGAACCGCAAGGUGCACCAUCGACCGAUCCUGAUGUCCUCGGAUGGAUUUGAGUAAGAGCAUAGCUGUUGGGACCCGAAAGAUGGUGAACUAUGCCUGAAUAGGGUGAAGCCAGAGGAAACUCUGGUGGAGGCUCGCAGCGGUUCUGACGUGCAAAUCGAUCGUCAAAUUUGGGUAUAGGGGCGAAAGACUAAU
rnacentral:rRNA from 1 species